CCUACGGGGGGCUGCAGUGGGGAAUAUUGCGCAAUGGGGGAAACCCUGACGCAGCGACGCCGCGUGAAGGAUGAAGAUUUUCGGAUUGUAAACUUCUAUCAGCAGGGAAGAUGAUGACAGUACCUGACUAAGAAGCCCCGGCUAACUACGUGCCAGCAGCCGCGGUAAUACGUAGGGGGCAAGCGUUAUCCGGAUUUACUGGGUGUAAAGGGUGCGUAGGUGGCCAAAUAAGUCAGAUGUGAAAGCCCGGGGCUCAACUCCGGGAUUGCAUUUGAAACUGUAUGGCUAGAGUGCAGGAGAGGUAAGUGGAAUUCCUAGUGUAGCGGUGAAAUGCGUAGAUAUUAGGAGGAACACCAGUGGCGAAGGCGGCUUACUGGACUGUAACUGACACUGAGGCACGAAAGCGUGGGGAGCAAACAGGCUUAGAUACCCUAGUAGUC
rnacentral:rRNA from 2 species